UCAGCAUUCCUCCUGUCUGCAAAAGCUGGCACACUUCAGCACACAAAAAAGGCGCUGUAUUUCCCUCACCCAAUGGCAUUUUCCCCCUUCCAGCCUCAUACGCCUGAUUUUAUAUGAUGUAAAAUGCUUUUUAAAAUUAUUUUUAGAUGACAAACCUCUGUAUCAAACUGCUUUUGCGUUGCCCACCCUACUUCCAAAUUACAUAAAUCGUAUUAACAGGCACUUCACUACAAGAUACAAACUCCUGGGAAUUCUGAACCAGCUGAGACGUCUUAAAUAUAUAUGGGGACAGGAUACAUAUGAACCACCACUACCAGCCCUGGUAACAAGAAAGGAGCUGUUUUAAACCCCACAGGAGUUCAAAAGAAACUGCAUGCAAAAUCUGUUAUAAACUCAGCAUUCUUCAUUACGGAAGGAGAAACUUUUUCAUGCUAACUGUUGCUGCUGCUUAUAGUAUUGUCCGAGAAGGUGUAAUUUAGAGGAAAAAUGUUCUCUAUGAAUAGAGAGAGUGCCUAUUUACCCUGAAAUACUUGGCACAAUGAAGUGAGGCUGAAGCGUGGAAGAAGUGUCUCUUAUUUCCCACUGCCUGCUUGCAGCUGUCAUUUCAGGAAGGAUGGCUUCCCAAUCCUGCAUCAUUUGUCUGUGCAGUGAUGUCAUGUUGAUUGACCCCAGGUUUAACACAAUGAAUGCCAUUCACUUGAUCAAGUAUCAGACAUACUGAAAACCUGGCAGGACUACAGGAAAGUGGCUAGACUUGGAGUGUUUGUGUACUUAAAGAAGGAAUCUUGCACAUUUUCAACUUUCAGUCUCAGAUAUUUUCUUAUAAGAGCAAUUGGAAGUCUGAGCCAGCCCUCAAAGCGGAAAUCAAUAGCUCCCAGAGAAACAUACCCAAGGAAUGUGAAUCUGAUCCAGGAACCAUACGCAAUGCACAUAUAGUACUGUCUUCCUUAUAGGAAGUCUGGCCGUAUAUGGACAUGUGUACCCUGAGCUAUUUUUCAUCAUGAUGGUCUUGUAGUUGGCUAUAGACAUUUCUAGUUUGCCUCAGGUUUAACAAUGUACAUUAAAUUCCCUCCCCAAAAGCUCUCCAGAAUAUUUCUUAAAUUGUAAUAAAUAUUAUCCUAAAAUCCUAAGGGAUCCAGUUAAACUUGCAUCAACAUGUAUUUGUUUAAAAUAAAGACUCCAAGCAAGAUUUGCUGUGCUACUGCAAAAGUGGAAAUGAAAUAAAA